UUCGCAAUGCCCGAAAGGGUGACGAAGCGACGCCGCGUGGAUGAAGAAGGCCUUCGGGUUGUAAAAUCCUGUCAGGAGUUAAGAAAUAUAAGUUUGAUAAUACCAAAUUUAUUUGACAAAGGCUCCAGAGGAAGCCACGGCUAACUCUGUGCCAGCAGCCGCGGUAAUACAGAGGUGGCAAGCGUUGUUCGGAAUUAUUGGGCGUAAAGAGCACGUAGGUGGAUUUGUUAGUCAGAUGUGAAAGCCUUUCGUUCAACGGAAGAAUUGCAUCUGAAACUACAAACCUUGAGUAUAGGAGGGGAGAGUGGAACUUCUGGUGGAGCGGUGAAAUGCGUAGAUAUCAGAAGGAACGCCGGCGGCGAAAGCGACUCUCUGGCCUAUAACUGACACUGAGUGUGCGAAAGCUAGGGGAGCAAACGGGAUUAGAUACCCCGGUAGUCCUAGCCGUAAACGAUG
rnacentral:rRNA from 1 species